CCUACGGGAGGCAGCAGUGAGGAAUAUUGGGCAAUGGAGGCAACUCUGACCCAGCCAAGCCGCGUGAGUGAAGAAGGUUCUCGGAGUGGUAAGCUUCUUCGGUUGUGACGAUGAUGACGGCAGGAUCUAAAGAAGCCCCGGCCAACUUCGAGACAGCAGCCGCGGUAAUAUGAAGGGGGCAAGGGUAGUUCGGAAUUACUGGGCGUAAAGGGAGUGUAGGGGGUUUAGUAAGAUAGUGGUGAAAUCCCAGGGCUUAACGUUGGAAUUGCCAUUAUAACUGUUGGCCUUGAAUUACAGAGAGGAUAGUGGAAUACCUGGUGUAGAGGUGAAAUUCGUAGAUAUUGGGUAGAACACCAGUGGCGAAGGCGACUAUCUGGCUGUACAUUGACGCUGAGGCUCGAAAGCAUGGGGAUCAAACAGGAUUAGAUACCCCAGUAGUC
rnacentral:rRNA from 1 species